UACGUAGGGUGCGAGCGUUAAUCGGAAUUACUGGGCGUAAAGCGUGCGCAGGCGGUUUGUUAAGUCUGAUGUGAAAGCCCCGGGCUCAACCUGGGAACUGCAUUGGAAACUGGCAAGCUCGAGUAUGGCAGAGGGGGGUGGAAUUCCGCGUGUAGCAGUGAAAUGCGUAGAGAUGCGGAGGAACACCGAUGGCGAAGGCAGCCCCUUGGGCCAAUACUGACGCUCAGGCACGAAAGCGUGGGGAGCAAACAGG
rnacentral:rRNA from 1 species